rnacentral:ncRNA from 2 species
UCUUACAAGGAAGAAGCAGCUUGUAAACUCUCGUUGACACUUAAUAGGGAAGACCGGUGAGAAUCCGGCACGGACCCGCCACUGUAAGGAUUGCCAGCGAAAGCACGCGUUCGCUGCGCUAUCCGAGUCAGAAAAUCUGCCUGUUUACAUAACGCUUA